GCACCGUGCCUAGUCUCCCUGCAGUCACUACCACACCUUCGGUGGCUUUUUAUAGCUUCACCAAGGUGUGCUAGUGAUGACAGGGGGAUGGGAACAAUCA
rnacentral:pre_miRNA from 1 species